rnacentral:lncRNA from 10 species
CGGGGCUGAGACUGUGCCCGCGGGCACUGCCAUCCCGUGCAUGGAGAGGGCGCAGAGCCCGGGGGUAGGGCGGGCCGGGGAACCCGAUCCUCCUUCAUCCGCGCAAAGGCCCGCGAAGCUCCCAAUCUGUUCUCUUUCAGGCUCACUGUGCAGAUGGCGUGCAAUUAAGUGGGUCGGUGCAGCAAACCCUCGUAUCCUCCCGCUUCCCUAAAAGCAGAGGAUUGAGCCGCUGCACUCCAGCCUGGGCAACACAGCGAGACCCUAUGUCUUAAAGAAAGGGCAGAAGUGGGGACCCCUCUCCCACCCCCUUCCCCUGCUCCAAGCCAAAGCGUUUGAAGCAAGAGGUUGCCUCCUGUGAGUUUCCCCCAGUCCCUGGAGGCCUGGGCUUUGGGAGGUGUGUCCAGGCAGAGGACAGAGGUCUUGUGCAAAGGGCCGCUUUUCCCUUCGCCCACCCUGCGCCCGCC